GUCAGUUUUCAAGGGCAAUUUCAAUAAAUUUCAUGUACAUGUGAGACGAUCUUUUUUCAGUUUAACAAGCUAAUGUCGUUGGUAGCUUUUUGAGCUGAAAAUAGAUUUGUGUAUAACUUGGCUUUGUGCAAAUUGUUUGCAGCAAUCCAGCGAAUUAUUCGAGUCAACAUCUGCUUACAAUGCGUAUGAAGCUCUGUCGUUUUGGAUGUGGUAUACCCGUGCCCAGGAGCUGUUGUAGACCAUGUGGGAUUUUAUCACCUGGCUGUGCGAAAUGCUGUUUUACUUACUUUGGGUUCUGCCCCGACAAUUGUUGCGGUCCGUGUUUUGAGUCAUGCUUUGAUCCGGCUUGGUUCACCUGGUUGGCGCCAAGAUAGUGUCGCCUCUCGCAUUGUCGCUAUGAAUAAUUCUGGUGGGUUAUUGCAAGAAUUGGCCAACAAUUUUCACUUAGUUGUAUUUGAACUAUUUGAUUUUAAGUAAUAAAGCCAAGGAGAAACCGA
rnacentral:sRNA from 1 species